rnacentral:rRNA from 1 species
UACGAAGGGAGCUAGCGUUGUUCGGAAUUACUGGGCGUAAAGGGUGCGUAGGCGGCGCGGUAAGUCGGGUGUGAAAUCUCGGAGCUUAACUCCGAAACUGCAUUCGAUACUGCCGUGCUUGAGGACUGGAGAGGAGACUGGAAUUUACGGUGUAGCGGUGAAAUGCGUAGAUAUCGUAAGGAAGACCAGUGGCGAAGGCGGGUCUCUGGGCCGAUACUGACGCUGAGGAGCGAAAGCGUGGGGAGCAAACAGG